rnacentral:rRNA from 1 species
CAGCCGCCACGGUAAUACGAGGGGAGCUAGCGUUGUUCGGAAUUACUGGGCGUAAAGCGCGCGUAGGCGGCUUUUUAAGUCAGAGGUGAAAGCCCGGGGCUCAACCCCGGAAUUGCCUUUGAAACUGGAAAGCUAGAAUCUUGGAGAGGUCAGUGGAAUUCCGAGUGUAGAGGUGAAAUUCGUAGAUAUUCGGAAGAACACCAGUGGCGAAGGCGACUGACUGGACAAGUAUUGACGCUGAGGUGCGAAAGCGUGGGGAGCAAACAGGAUUAGAUACCCGGGUAGUCCCUGUCUCUUAUAC